rnacentral:lncRNA from 1 species
GGGUUUUGGUCUUGCAUCAGGCUGUAAACUCCUUGGUUGCAGCGACCACAUUUGUCUUGUUCACCAUGUGACUAGCGUGGAAGAGGAGUUCAGGAAAUGUUUGUUGACUAAAAGACAUUGGGACUUUAUCACAUCAACUUUCAAUUCCUGCAACAACUGGAAGCUUGGAUCCUAUGAGUCCAUGAUGAGAGACGGCACUUGGCUGAAUACUUAAGUUCUUCUCAAGAUAAGUCAGCAUUUCUCAUCACUAUUUUAUGAUACAGUCGUACCUUGGUAGCCUUAGGGGAUUGGUUCCAGGACCCACAGCAGAUACAAAAUCUGAUGAUGCUCAAGUUCCAUAGUCAGCUCUCUGUAUCCAGUGGUUCCACAUCUGCAGCUUCACCAACCUCUGAUGGUAAACAUAGCACGGGAUUCACAGUUGGUUGAAUCUGUGGAUGCAGAACCCAUGUAAUACCUAAUAUGAUUUGAGAUGCCCCUGUUGAACAAUAAAAAAUUGAUGUCCUUUGUUUCUGGUUCCUGGGAGGGAGAAAGACCCUAAAUCCUUGGCAUUUCCUGAGUAAUAGGAGUAUCUUUGUUAUUCGUGAGACCCUUGGAUCAUACCUGAGUUUAUGCUAAUGAAAUGACUUUGGAUGAAAGGCUGGUCACCAGAAAGAUACCCAUGUGAUUAAAGGGUUGGGGCUUUAAGCCAGACCAACCUUCAGGGAGGUAAGGGGGCCUGAAUUGAAUUCAAUCGUGUGGCCAAUGAUUCAAUCAGUCAUGUCUACGUGUGAAAACACUGGACACUGAUUUUGAGGGAGCUUCCUGGCUGGUGAAUGAGACCAAUACUGAGAACGUGAUGUCCCCUGAUCCCACAGGGAGAGCACAUGGCAGCUCUGUGUUUGGGACCCUCCCAAACUUUUCCCUACAUGUCUUUUCAUUUCUCUGGUCCUCCUAAUUUGUAUCCUUUACUGUAAUUGAAAGUAUGGCAUUUUCCUGAAUUCUGUGAGUUGUUCUAGCAAGUUAUCAAAUCUGAGGAGGUGUCAUGGGAACACCUCAGAUUUGUAGCCAUUUGGAGCAAGUGGCCUGGGGACCCCCAAACUUGUGCCUGGCAUGUGAAGUAAGGGCGUCUUGUUGGGGACUGUGUCGUUAACUUGGGCAUCUGACACUUAACUCUGGGCGACUGUAUCAGAAUCACGCUGCGGUAUUCCAGUCCCUAUACAUCUACACUCGUGUCAUUCCCUUGCCAGGGCCUUGCUGGGAUGUUCACGUCUGCAUGAUUUCAUAAAGGUUAGAGGCCAAGGGAGGGCAGAUUUACCCAAAGAAUCAAAUUCCAAUGCCUUCUAAUAUACAUCCCUGAAUUUUUACAAUUUCUUGCUUGUUGAUUAUCUGCCCUAGCUUUUGUUUCUCUGAUUUUACUAGAUUAUCCAGAUUUUGGCAAAUGCUCAUGAUAUAACUGCAUGAGUCUAACCUAUAUACCUUCAGGAUACAUUUCCUGCUGCCUCCAUUUUUCCUCAGAAUGUCCUUAGUUGUGUGUGUUUGCGUGUGUGUGUGAUGGUCAUCAAUCUGAGUUUUCAUCAGAGGUUUGCCAUCUUGAUGUUUCCUUUACACAAGCAAAGCAGCGAAUGGAUUCUACAGAACAAAUCAGUGAGUGACUAUUGUGCAAUACAGAUCCCUGCUACAAGUUCAAAUAUACAUCGCUUAAAUUCUCUGAACUGGAGAGAACAUUUUACUUUCCCACUGUCAUUUUGUGCUGGGACAAACUGCUUCUCUAGACUGUCUUUAACUGAGCUGCAAAGGCUACCCACCCCACCACAGAUUCUCAUUGUGCUGAGGAUUCAUGUAUCACUGGCACUUCCCGUCUCUCACACACAGCAAUACUUCUCAGCAGUGGUCACAGCCUGAGAUAGUUCCUUUCUCGCUAGGGCCUCCUUUCUCGCCUCGCAGAUUUUCUUCAGCUGAUUCUCACCAUGGCUUUAGUUGACUGCUGGCUUCUUGCUACCCAGCAGCCAGGGUGGUACAAUGAUGCAAUAAUCAACCACAUUUCCAAUUUUGUUUUAGCUUGUUCAAGAGCAAAGCAAUCAUUACCUCCAGGUCCUGGAGGGGGGCUUAACUACCUUAUUUAAUUUUAUGAGAACGUUUAUGGGAAAAGGGGCCAGAUCUGAUCUAUGUCCUUCUGAGCAGAAUUGAAGGCCACCCACCCUCUGCUACUAUAUAAUUAUCUGCAUUACAUAAAAAAGGAGAAAAACUGUUUAUACCCUGGAAUCUUACUUCAAAGGGGUUCUUCUGGUGGAAAUGUGAUGAAUAAUGUUACUGCCCCAGGAUGACAAAGGAUAGUGCUGACACCCGGUAGCCUUGUGAUGUGUGUCAUAUUUUAGAUUAUAAAUAUAAGUGAUGUCUUUCUCUUUCUUUUUUUUUUUUUUUUUCUUUUUGUUUUUUUUGUUGUUGUUGUUGUUGCUAUUUCUUGGGCCGCUCCUGCGGCAUAUGGAGGUUCCCAGGCUAGGGGUUGAAGCGGAGCUGUAGCCACUGGCCUACGCCAGAGCCACAGCAACGUGGGAUCCGAGUCGCGUCUGCAACUUACACCACAGCUCACGGCAACGCCGGAUCGUUAACCCACUGAGCAAGGGCAGGGACCGAACCCGCAACCUCAUGGUUCCUAGUCGGAUUCGUUAACCACUGCGCCACGACGGGAACUCCCAGAUGUCUUUCUCUUUCUGACGUACUUCACUUAGUAUGAACAUCUCUAGGUCCAUCCAUGUUGCUGCAAAUGGCAUUAUUUCAUUCUUUUUCAUGGCCGAGUAGUAUUCCAUUAUACAUGUACCAUAUCUUCUUUAUCCAUUCAUCUGUCCAUACAUGGAACUUAGAUUGUUUCCUUGUCUUGGGUAUUGUGAAUAGUGCUGUAAUGAACAUAGGGGUGUGUUAUCUUUUUGAAUUAUAAUUUUGUCUAGGUGCAUGCCCAGGAGUGGGAUUGCUUGAUCAUGCAGAAAAAAGAUUAGAAAUUUUUAAAAAUCCAUACACAAUUUAUUAAAAUCAAAGACUACAGAGAGAAGAUAUUCAGUAAGUGAGAAAUAAAGGACGUGCAUCAAAAAUAGUUGGGUUUUAUUUUUCUGAGCCAGCCCCUCCCUUGUUUCCAUGCCCUUCUUUAUAUUAAAAAAAAAAUUCAGACUUUGGAGACAUUUCACAAAAAUCCUGCCAAGGAAAAUACCAAGAAUUCAAUGGGCACAGGAGCCCACAAUGCAAUAAAGAGAAAGCCACAAAAUGUUUUGGAUGGCUUUAAAAGUAUGUUACAUUUAUCAUUGUUGAUUAUAAAAUGUGCAUGAAAUAUCACAUUCCUAAUGUUUUCCUCAACCAAAUGGAAUCUGCUCUGUGUUCCAAACUGCUAGACUGUGAGGAAAUUCAACCCUAGUCAUUAGUGGGGCUCCCUCCUCCCUUCAUGAGAUCAUAAAACAUCAGGGGUUUAUUCAGUGCCAGAAAAGCUGAGAGCAAGGCCAGGUCCUUAGUAACCAGUGGUGGCUGUCACAGCUCAGGCUUGCUAUAAUAAAAUACCACAGACCAGGUGGCCUAAACAGCAAACAUUUCUUUCUCACAGUUCUGGAGGCCCAGAAGUCUUAGAACGAGGGGCUAGAAGAUUCAGUGUCUGGUAAGAGUUCUCUUCCUUGUUUCCAGAUGGCCAGCUUCUCUCUGCAUCCUCACAUGACAGAGACAGAGGAGGGAUCUGGUCUUUUCCUCUUCUUAUCAGGGCACUAAUUCUACCACUGGGGUCCCACCUCAUGACCUCACCUAAACCUAACUACCUUCCAAAGACUCCACCCCCAAAUACCAUCACGUUGGGGAUUAGGGCUUUGACAUAUGAAUUUAGGGGUGAUACAAACACUCCAUCCAUAGCAGCAGCCAUGGUUUCCAUUGAUCCCUCUUCUUUCAGAGGUUUCUGUCAAACCCUGGUGUCCUCUGGAUCAGGCACUGCCCCUUAUGGAUGUCCAUAUCACUGACCACAGAGUUCCCCUGGGGUACCAUGUCCUGUGUCCCUAGUGGAGAGAAACCAUGUCCGGCCUCUCUGGGCUUUGUCCAGCCAUCUUUCAGCCUAGGUAUGCCCUGGGAAAAAUCAGAAGCCUGAGUCUCCACUACUCAUUGAGCAGAAGGUACCAAAUUUCCAGGUCCCAGAGAAUCUCAACCUCCGCUAAGCACAUACCCACAACCCACUUCUGUCUCAGCCUAGAUGUUUAUACAUGACCCUAACACCAACACUCACCCACCCUCUCCAUAUCCAAAACAGAAGCUCAGAAAUGAGAACAAAAACUUCAUAACCUUCUCAGUGAGGGAAAUACACAUAGAGCAACAAGAACAAAACAAAAAAUAAUUCCAUAAUAAAUUAUCCUGCCACAAGCCUGACAGCUAAAAGAAUUCUAAUGAAAUGAAGAUUUGGCAAAUACUGUAGCCACACUGGCAAAGUAAGUUAAUGAGAUGGAUUCUUACAGAGCUCAUCAUGGACACGAAGGCUGUGGACUAGGUAAAGAUUCAGCUGUUCCUGUUACCUAUCGCUGCAUAACCACUCCAAACCUAGUGGCUUAAAACCACUCACUGCAUAACUACUUCAAACCUAGUGGCUUAAAGUUAGUGACUUUGUCAGUUCGCAAGUCUACUCCUAUUGAUAUCAACUGGGGUCACUCAGGGCCAUCAUUUGGCAGAUGAGCUAGUCUAAAGAGUCCAGGACGGGAGUUCCUGUUGUGGCUCAGUGGUUAACGAAUCCCACUAGAAACCAUGAGGUUGCAGGUUCGAUUCCUGGCUUUGCUCAGGAGGUUAAGGAUAUGGUGUUGCCGUGAGCUGUGGUGUAGGUUGCAGACGCAGCUCGGAUCCUGUGUUGCUGUGACUCUGGCGUAGGCCGGUGUUUACAGCUCCAAUUAGACUCCUAGCCUGGGAACCUCCAUGUGCCUCGGGAAGCAGCCCUAGAAAAAUGCAAAAAGACAAAAAAAAAAAAAAAGAAAAAAGAAAAAGAGUCCAGGACAGUUUCCCUUACACCUCUGUCUCCUUGGUGGGGACAGCUGGGCUCUGCUGGUGGUUGACCCCAGGGCUGGACACGGCUGUUCCAUCAUACAGUCUCGGGGAAUUUGGACUUCCUGCAUGGUGGCUCAGGGCUCCCAGAGAGUGUUCCAAGAGAUAAAAAGUAGAAGUUGCCUAAGUCUGGAAAGUGGCUCAGCAUCAGCUCCACCAAUUUUUGUUGAUCAAAAAGCCACAGAGGGAGUUCCCGAUGUGGUUCAGCAGAUAAAGAAUCCGACUAGUAUCCAUGAGGAGGUGGGUUUGAUCCCUGGCCUCACUCAGUGGGUCAGGGCUCUGGCGUUGCUGUGAGCUGUGGUGUAGUUUGCAGAUGCAGCUCAGAUCCCUCGUUGCUAUGGCUGUGGUGUAAGCCAACAGUUGCAGCUCCAUUCGACCCCUAGCCUGGGAAUUUCCAUGCCACGUGUACAGCCCUAAAAAAAGAGGAAAAAAAGCCUCAGAAUUCAUCUAAAUUCAAGGGGACCCCACUUCUCAAUGGGACAAACAGCAAAGGAUUGGUGGCUGUCUUUAAUCUCCAGGUGACUCCAGGUGAGUUGGGACCUGCCUUAGCAGUGAUGCCUCUGAAACCGAGGGCUCUGGAGACAAUACCAAGAACACCUCAAACUUGAUCAACAGUGUCUGUCUGGUUGAUGUGAGAAACCCACAGGUCUCACUGCUGGAUUGACAGAGGCUAAUGCUCAUACUCAAGAGUCCAGCUAGUAUUUAAUGAAAGAGGCAGCAAACGGAGGGCUCACAAUAACACAAACCCAUCUAAUCUAUUUCAGUUUUUGCGGAAGCUGAAAAAUGCAUGAGAUCAAUUCAGGAUGCCAUUAAACAGGUGAUCGAAAAAAAAUUGAUUCAUAGAAGAUGUCAGGAGCGACAAAGCAGAAAGUCCUUCAUAAUUUACAUUCUGCCCCGCCUCCCCUCCUCUCAAUAAGAAAAGAACAAAGAUCCCAUGAGGAGGGCACCAAGCACAGUGGGCACUGAAAUAAUAGAAGACUGUUUCCACCCCUUACUCCAUUUUGUAGUCUCAUUUUCUUACAGUUAAAUCUUUUAAAAAAUAUACACAGGAGUUCCCGUUGUGGCUCAGUGGUUAACAAAUCCGACAAGGAACCAUGAGGUUGCUUGGAUCCUAAGUUGCUGCGGCUCUGGCGCAGGCCAGCGGCUAUAGCUCCAAUCAGACCCCUAGCCUGGGAACCUCCAUAUGCCGCAGGUGCGGCUCUAGAAAAGACAAAAAAAAAA